ACGACUAGCGGGAGGGGGCCGGGCUAGCGGGCUACUGGGCUGCGGAGACCAGAGCCCGGCUCCACUGAAGAAACCCGCCGGCUGCUGGGGCAGGGCGGCGAAAGGUCAGUCGGCCGAGAGGAGUCCGUGGAGCCACCGUUUCAUAGCCUCAGGGAAAGGAUCGGGCGUGCUCACGAGCCCUCUAACCCAUGGCUUAAACACCCGCUUCCUAAGCCUGGGUUCUUAUGCCUUUGUUUGAAAAACAUGGUUCCCUGUGAAAUUUUACAUGUAGAAGAAAGCUUCACACUACGAGAGCUCUCAGGAUAUAAUUAUUUCAGACAGAUACUGGGAACAUAAGAUGGCUUAUCAAUCUAAGAUGGCCUUCCUGUCCUUCGGAUUGAACUGAAACCAUCCCUGAUUCCAGGGAUAGGUAGAUGAUCCAGGUUUGGACAAUCAAAAUAUUGAACCACCCUGGACCUACAAGUGUUUCUGGGAUGGGAACAUGCAAACGUUGGUCCAAAUUGUUGUUCUAGGCAGCCCAGUACAUUUCUCCAAUGCCUGAUGGAAUGAUAGGGUAUGCAUAAAUGUUCAUGUGGGCUCUGGAGUAUACCAGGAACUGAAGUAAGGUACAUGGACGUCUUGAAUAUUGUAACUGAGAUGGGCAAGCCUACACCUUUGCAAAUAAAGGAGGAUUGGGAAAGAUUAAGAUCCUGUUAAACGUCAGUGUUACUAUUUAGCCUUUGAUAUCUCCAGUAAAGGCAACUUCUUUCUGGACCCAGAAAUAAAGCUUUACAUUAGCAGCUUCCAUAACACCAAUAACAUGAAUGACCAUCUACUGAGCAAUUGCAGUGCACCAGGAUUAUGGCUUAUGAGCACUUUAUGUUUAUUAUCUCACAACUCACUGAGUUAGAUACUCUCCACAACCCAGUGAGGUAAAUACUAUUACUUCCACAGUAUAUAUUAUUAUAUAAUAAAAUGCUUAGAAUAUACACACAGUAACUAAACACUACUUAUAAAAUAUGGCUCUAGAUAUGUUUGAUAAAUAUUUCCUUCAUGAAAACAUGGAGGAAUUAAUUAGCAGUAUCUCUCUGCAGCCUUUAGCCCUCGAGAAUCAUGUAGAAAAGAGGAGCUGUCUUCUCUUUUAGCAGAACAUCUGUCAGAGAUGGUUUCCCCUGACUUAGACAAUUGUGUUUUUUUCCCUUCAGAAUGAUUGAGUCUCAGAAUUGUUCUUUAAUCCUCAGUAUUUCCAUUAAGAAGAGCUUCUAUCAAGUGCUUCAAAAGUACCCAAUGUGAAGGAGUAAUAAUGACUCCCUGCUGGUGAGCGAAGUGUGGAGGACACAGGUCCCUCAGCCGUCCACUGGAUGCUGCACUGUUUGGCCUGAGCCAACAUGGGCAGAAAUACAGGCGGCAGCAUAAGCAGAUGCCAAGAACCUGUCUUGCUUCUACUGUUUUCAUUGGGUUACUAUAUCUCCUUUGUAGUCCAACCUGCAAAUUACUUUGAGAAGGGGAGAUACACCCCUGGACCAAUCUAGGACUAUAUUUGUUCCCUUGCUAAAGUAGGAAAAAAAAUACAGAACCUUUAAAUAUUGAACUCAAGGGCAACUAAUUUAAAUUCCUUUCCUUUCAUGUUGAAAGUCUUUUGACUGGGUUAUUCUGAAGCCAUAGCAAUUAGGUUACAGUUUACUUCUCUGUUACUUUACCAUCUUUAAAUUUGGCACCUUCAAAAGGUUGUUCUGUGCGUUUAAAAAAAAAAAGGAACUACCGUUGGAUAUUGUAUUGUUGAUGACCAUUAUUUGAUUCUGGAUUCUUUUGUGUGUUUGUGUUUGGGUGUUUUUGGUUGUUGUUUGUUUGUUUUCUAGAGACGGGGGGUCUCACUAUGUUGUCCAGACUAGAUUCGAGCCCCUGAGCUCAAGGGAUUCUCCAGCCCCAGCCUCCCGAGUAGCUGGAACUGCAGGCACCCGCCACCACGCCCAGGGACAGUUACUUGAUUCUUAAUAGUCCAGUCAUAAUGAGACAGGAUACUGCAUAAGCCAAAGACCACACAAAGUAUCAAUGUUAAGUAUCAAGAGGGUGUGGAGGAAGUGGGUUACAACCACUUUGUCUCCCAACUGUUGUAUGUUUUGCCUUUAAAAAUUUUUUUAAGUACGUUAAAUUCUAAUGUACUCAGAUGUGGCUGAAACAAUGACAAAACAUUAGUUUUCUUUAAAUAUGCGUGACUUUUAAGCUUUUUCCCUUUCCCAGUGACUUGCUUCUCCACUAAGCUCUUUUUUUCUUUUUUUUUUUUCCUCAAAUAUUAUUGUUUCAUGUCACUGUGACAAGUUUAGUCUACUGGAAAUUCCUAUGUCCUCUGUAAUUUAGGUUUUAAGCAACAUAUGAUUUAUCUUGUUAUUUUAAAAAAACUAUCUGCCUUCCCUAAGUGGGCAACUCUCUGGCAUCCUUAAUAUUCUUCUAUAGAAAUUGUGAUGAAAGAACAGAUAAGCCUAAGUAAAUCUAGCGUGUGGAGCUCCUUUAAAAUGUGAAGACCUUGCCAACUGGUUAAAAAUAAAACUUGGUUUUGUCCUAAAUAUCCUUGCUGGGCCUAUUAUACAUAAAAAAAGGGGCCACAGCCCAUUUGCAAGGCUUCUGAAUGAACUCCAUUCAUUCUGUACUUGGAAAUGUCUCUUCAGCCACAAAAAGAAACAAUAGUUAUAACCUAAUUUCUUUGGUGCCAAUAUCAGCAGAAGAAGAGCCAAGAGACCAUUAUGAAAACUCUAGUAAGUUCUCUUGGUGAUUAUAUAAUGCUGUAUUCAUUGAUCAUAUUUCUGUAUUUAAAUAAGUACAUUUUUUAAAACAUCAUAAAGUGGAUCAGUAAUGCUGUAAUAUCACAUUUCAUGUAUUAUACAACAUUUUUGAAAUGGAGUACUCCAAAGUAAUUUGCUUCUUAUGGUUACCAAAGUUUAAAGAAUACCCUAACAUGCACUCCAAGAUUUUAAGAGGAAAGGCUUUGUGUUUUUCAUUACUGUAUUUUGAAAUCUGAGAGUGCAAAACUAGUUUUCUUAGGUAAACCCCGUAAUCAGUUUCCACAUUUACCUGUAAAAGUCAGUGGAGGGCAUACAUCUGGAAGUAGUAGUGGCGGUACACAAUGUGUGUUAAUAUGAUUUCCAAGGGGUAUCUAGAGUAAACUUUCUUAAUCACAGAUCUGAUCUGAGCAUGCCACUCCUUUCUUAAAAUCUUUUGUUGAUUUUCCAUUUCCCUAAAAGGAAGGCCCACUGGAGCAUGGGCCUUGCAAAGUCCUCUUUCUGGCUUCUGCCUGCCUGCCUUUUCAGCUUCAUCUCUGCCAUCUUCCCUGAAUGAACUUUUGUCAGUGGCCUCGCUCUUUCUACCUAUGAGAUGUUGUUUCUGCAUGUUCUUGCAUGGAAUUCUCUUCCUCCCAACCCUGUUUCAUUCCUUUAAUCUGUACAACUCUUUCUUAUCCUGAAGUCUUUAUGUUAAGGUUGCCUUUUCAGGAAGACUUUUAAUUGUAUUAGCUAAUUAAUUAAUUAAUAGUCUGAGGUAUUUGGAGCUGAGAUUCUAUGGGGAUUAGUUGCUGGAGGGUAGUUUAGAGCCAGAUUGUGAAGGACUUUCUAAACUGUGCUUUCAAGGUUUUGAACAGGAAAAUGAUGUAGACUUUCUGUUUUUUGUAAGUUUGGAGGAUGGCUUGUGUCUUAAAAGAAUAUGUAACAUAACCAUCUAAUUUGUGAGUAGUGGACUAAGGAAACACCACUCUAACCUUUUUCUCUCUGCGAUAAUCCCAUCUUCAGCCUCUCAAGCACUGUGAAAAAUCACUUUCUCUUGUUGUAUUCUUGGAGCCCCUGCUAAUUCAUUAUUGAAAAAUACCUGCUGCCUGCAUUUGGCCUUAUGUUGUCAUUUACUUGGUACUUCCUAAGCGUGGCUACUCCAAUGAAGCUUUAGUAUAUGUACUGAAAGAAGAUCCUCUCAUACUGCCACAGCCAAGAGAUAAGGUUGUAAAUCUUUAUUGGGAGAAGCCGUCAAGGACAGUUCUGUGAAAUGAAAGGAUCUCUGGAUCACCACAAAGUCUGGCUCAGUGACUAUGGCUUUGCAAACACUAAACAUUCCUGUCUCAAGUCCUGUAGAUGGCUUGAAAUAGUAUACAUAAGCAUGCCUUAUAAACAUCUUCAGUCUUUAUCAACUCUUUGGAGAUUCAGCCAUUCUUUUUUGUACUUUAGGGAAUUAAAUCAUUUUAUAAUGUAUAAAUCUGAGCAUGGCCGAUGGCAGAAGAAAUUUUGUCAUACGUUUUUAAAGAAAUAAAAAUGUAUUAUGUUUU
ensembl:lncRNA DPH5-DT DPH5 divergent transcript